AGUCCAUGAUGUGGACAUGUCAUAAUCAUUUCCUUAUAUCUUUCCCACGCUUCGAAAAGAGACUCGUUGUCCCUUUGUCUAAAUCCAUUGAUUUGGGUUCUUAGCAU